rnacentral:rRNA from 1 species
AUUGAACGCUGGCGGCAGGCCUAACACAUGCAAGUCGAACGAGUGGCGGACGGGUGAGUAAUGUCUGGGAAACUGCCUUAUGGAGGGGGAUAACGACGGGAAACUGUCGCUAAUACCGCGUACCAUAGGAUGAGCCCAAGUGGGAUUAGGUAGUAGGUGGGGUAAAGGCUCACCUAGCCGACGAUCCCUAGCUGGUCUGAGAGGAUGACCAGCCACACCGGAACUGAGACACGGCCCGGACUCCUACGGGAGGCAGCAGUGGGGAAUAUUGCACAAUGGGGGCAAGCCUGACGCAGCCAUGCCGCGUGUAUGAAGAAGGCCUUCGGGUUGUAAAGUACUUUCAGUGGGGAGGCGUUAAUCGCAGAAGAAGCACCGGCUAACUCCGUGCCAGCAGCCGCGGUAAUAC